rnacentral:rRNA from 1 species
GGUUAAGCGACUAAGCGUACACGGUGGAUGCCCUGGCAGUCAGAGGCGAUGAAGGACGUGCUAAUCUGCGAUAAGCGUCGGUAAGGUGAUAUGAACCGUUAUAACCGGCGAUUUCCGAAUGGGGAAACCCAGUGUGUUUCGACACACUAUCAUUAACUGAAUCCAUAGGUUAAUGAGGCGAACCGGGGGAACUGAAACAUCUAAGUACCCCGAGGAAAAGAAAUCAACCGAGAUUCCCCCAGUAGCGGCGAGCGAACGGGGAGCAGCCCAGAGCCUGAAUCAGUGUGUGUGUUAGUGGAAGCGUCUGGAAAGGCGCGCGAUACAGGGUGACAGCCCCGUACACAAAAAUGCACAUACUGUGAGCUCGAUGAGUAGGGCGGGACACGUGGUAUCCUGUCUGAAUAUGGGGGGACCAUCCUCCAAGGCUAAAUACUCCUGACUGACCGAUAGUGAACCAGUACCGUGAGGGAAAGGCGAAAAGAACCCCGGCGAGGGGAGUGAAAAAGAACCUGAAACCGUGUACGUACAAGCAGUGGGAGCACGCUUAGGCGUGUGACUGCGUACCUUUUGUAUAAUGGGUCAGCGACUUAUAUUCUGUAGCAAGGUUAACCGAAUAGGGGAGCCGAAGGGAAACCGAGUCUUAACUGGGCGUUAAGUUGCAGGGUAUAGACCCGAAACCCGGUGAUCUAGCCAUGGGCAGGUUGAAGGUUGGGUAACACUAACUGGAGGACCGAACCGACUAAUGUUGAAAAAUUAGCGGAUGACUUGUGGCUGGGGGUGAAAGGCCAAUCAAACCGGGAGAUAGCUGGUUCUCCCCGAAAGCUAUUUAGGUAGCGCCUCGUGAAUUCAUCUCCGGGGGUAGAGCACUGUUUCGGCAAGGGGGUCAUCCCGACUUACCAACCCGAUGCAAACUGCGAAUACCGGAGAAUGUUAUCACGGGAGACACACGGCGGGUGCUAACGUCCGUCGUGAAGAGGGAAACAACCCAGACCGCCAGCUAAGGUCCCAAAGUCAUGGUUAAGUGGGAAACGAUGUGGGAAGGCCCAGACAGCCAGGAUGUUGGCUUAGAAGCAGCCAUCAUUUAAAGAAAGCGUAAUAGCUCACUGGUCGAGUCGGCCUGCGCGGAAGAUGUAACGGGGCUAAACCAUGCACCGAAGCUGCGGCAGCGACGCUUAUGCGUUGUUGGGUAGGGGAGCGUUCUGUAAGCCUGCGAAGGUGUGCUGUGAGGCAUGCUGGAGGUAUCAGAAGUGCGAAUGCUGACAUAAGUAACGAUAAAGCGGGUGAAAAGCCCGCUCGCCGGAAGACCAAGGGUUCCUGUCCAACGUUAAUCGGGGCAGGGUGAGUCGACCCCUAAGGCGAGGCCGAAAGGCGUAGUCGAUGGGAAACAGGUUAAUAUUCCUGUACUUGGUGUUACUGCGAAGGGGGGACGGAGAAGGCUAUGUUGGCCGGGCGACGGUUGUCCCGGUUUAAGCGUGUAGGCUGGUUUUCCAGGCAAAUCCGGAAAAUCAAGGCUGAGGCGUGAUGACGAGGCACUACGGUGCUGAAGCAACAAAUGCCCUGCUUCCAGGAAAAGCCUCUAAGCAUCAGGUAACAUCAAAUCGUACCCCAAACCGACACAGGUGGUCAGGUAGAGAAUACCAAGGCGCUUGAGAGAACUCGGGUGAAGGAACUAGGCAAAAUGGUGCCGUAACUUCGGGAGAAGGCACGCUGAUAUGUAGGUGAGGUCCCUCGCGGAUGGAGCUGAAAUCAGUCGAAGAUACCAGCUGGCUGCAACUGUUUAUUAAAAACACAGCACUGUGCAAACACGAAAGUGGACGUAUACGGUGUGACGCCUGCCCGGUGCCGGAAGGUUAAUUGAUGGGGUUAGCGCAAGCGAAGCUCUUGAUCGAAGCCCCGGUAAACGGCGGCCGUAACUAUAACGGUCCUAAGGUAGCGAAAUUCCUUGUCGGGUAAGUUCCGACCUGCACGAAUGGCGUAAUGAUGGCCAGGCUGUCUCCACCCGAGACUCAGUGAAAUUGAACUCGCUGUGAAGAUGCAGUGUACCCGCGGCAAGACGGAAAGACCCCGUGAACCUUUACUAUAGCUUGACACUGAACAUUGAGCCUUGAUGUGUAGGAUAGGUGGGAGGCUUUGAAGUGUGGACGCCAGUCUGCAUGGAGCCGACCUUGAAAUACCACCCUUUAAUGUUUGAUGUUCUAACGUUGACCCGUAAUCCGGGUUGCGGACAGUGUCUGGUGGGUAGUUUGACUGGGGCGGUCUCCUCCUAAAGAGUAACGGAGGAGCACGAAGGUUGGCUAAUCCUGGUCGGACAUCAGGAGGUUAGUGCAAUGGCAUAAGCCAGCUUGACUGCGAGCGUGACGGCGCGAGCAGGUGCGAAAGCAGGUCAUAGUGAUCCGGUGGUUCUGAAUGGAAGGGCCAUCGCUCAACGGAUAAAAGGUACUCCGGGGAUAACAGGCUGAUACCGCCCAAGAGUUCAUAUCGACGGCGGUGUUUGGCACCUCGAUGUCGGCUCAUCACAUCCUGGGGCUGAAGUAGGUCCCAAGGGUAUGGCUGUUCGCCAUUUAAAGUGGUACGCGAGCUGGGUUUAGAACGUCGUGAGACAGUUCGGUCCCUAUCUGCCGUGGGCGCUGGAGAACUGAGGGGGGCUGCUCCUAGUACGAGAGGACCGGAGUGGACGCAUCACUGGUGUUCGGGUUGUCAUGCCAAUGGCACUGCCCGGUAGCUAAAUGCGGAAGAGAUAAGUGCUGAAAGCAUCUAAGCACGAAACUUGCCCCGAGAUGAGUUCUCCCUGACUCCUUGAGAGUCCUGAAGGAACGUUGAAGACGACGACGUUGAUAGGCCGGGUGUGUAAGCGCAGCGAUGCGUUGAGCUAACCGGUACUAAUGAACCGUGAGGCUUAACCUU